UACAGGGGGGGCAAGCGUUGUUCGGAAUUACUGGGCGUAAAGGGCCAGUAGGCGGCCAACUAAGUCCGACGUGAAAUCCCCAGGCUCAACUUGGGAACUGCGUCUGAUACUGGAUGGCUUGAAUUCGGGAGAGGGAUGCAGAAUUCCAGGUGUAGCGGUGAAAUGCGUAGAUAUCUGGAGGAAUACCGGUGGCGAAGGCGGCAUCCUGGACCGAGAUUGACACUGAUGAGCGAAAGCUAGGGGAGCAAACGGG
rnacentral:rRNA from 1 species